UACAGAGGCCACAAGCGUUAGGCGGAAUCACUGGGCUUAAAGCGUGUGUAGGCGGGAUGGUAAGUACUUUGUGAAAUCCCACGGCUUAACCGUGGAAUUGCUUGGUAUACUGCCGUUCUUGAGUCAUCUAGGGGCAGCCGGAACAGAUGGUGGAGCGGUGAAAUGCGUAGAUAUCAGGAGGAACACCGGUGGCGAAGGCGGGACUCUGGGCCGAUACUGACGCUGAGGAGCGAAAGCGUGGGGAGCAAACAGG
rnacentral:rRNA from 1 species